UUUGGUUAGCUUGCUAACCAGAUAGCGGCGAACGGGUGAGGAAUACUUGGGAAUUUGCCUAUUAGUGGGGGAUAACGUUUCGAAAGGAACGCUAAUACCGCAUACGCCCUACGGGGGAAAGGGGGGGAUCUUCGGACCUCUCGCUAUCAGAUGAGCCCAAGUCGGAUUAGCUAGUUGGUGGGGUAAAGGCUCACCAAGGCGACGAUCCGUAGCUGGUCUGAGAGGAUGAUCAGCCACACUGGAACUGAGACACGGUCCAGACUCCUACGGGAGGCAGCAGUGGGGAAUAUUGGACAAUGGGCGAAAGCCUGAUCCAGCCAUGCCGCGUGUGUGAAGAAGGCCUUCGGGUUGUAAAGCACUUUAAGCGAGGAGGAAUGGCUGAGGGUUAAUAACCUUCAGCAGUGACGUUACUCGCAGAAUAAGCACCGGCUAACUCUGUGCCAGCAGCCGCGGUAAUACAGAGGGUGCAAGCGUUAAUCGGAAUUACUGGGCGUAAGGCGCGCGUAGGCGGUUACGUAAGUUGGAUGUGAAAUCCCCGGGCUCAACCAGGGAAUUGCAUUCAAAACUGCGUGGCUAAAGUGUGGGAGAGGAAGGUAAAAUUCCAGGUGUAGCGGUGAAAUGCGUAGAUUUCUGGAGGAAUACCGAUGGCGAAGGCAGCCUUCUGGCCUAAACACUGACGCUGAGGUGC
rnacentral:rRNA from 1 species